rnacentral:rRNA from 1 species
UACGUAGGGUGCGAGCGUUGUCCGGAAUUAUUGGGCGUAAAGAGCUUGUAGGCGGUUUGUCGCGCCUGCUGUGAAAAUCCGGGGCUCAACCCCGGACUUGCAGUGGGUACGGGCAGACUAGAGUGUGGUAGGGGAGACUGGAAUUCCUGGUGUAGCGGUGGAAUGCGCAGAUAUCAGGAGGAACACCGAUGGCGAAGGCAGGUCUCUGGGCCACUACUGACGCUGAGAAGCGAAAGCAUGGGGAGCGAACAGG